rnacentral:rRNA from 1 species
GAUUAACGCUGGCGGCGUGCCUAACACAUGCAAGUCGAGCGGCAGCGAGUUUUACACUGAAUUCUGGGAGCUUCUAGUUUAAAGAGAAGAUUUAUUCAAGAAUUUUGUGUAAAAUGUCGGCGAGCGGCGGACGGCUGAGUAACGCGUGGGAACGUACCCCAAAGUGAGGGAUAACGCAUCGAAAGGUGUGCUAAUACCGCAUAUGGUCUUCGGAUUAAAGCCUUCGGGCGCUUUGGGAACGGCCUGCGUAAGAUUAGAUAGUUGGUGGGGUAAUGGCCUACCAAGUCGACGAUCUUUAACUGGUUUGAGAGGAUGAUCAGUCAGACUGGAACUGAGACACGGUCCAGACUCCUACGGGAGGCAGCAGUGAGGAAUCUUCCACAAUGGGCGAAAGCCUGAUGGAGCAACGCCGCGUGCAGGAUGAAGGCCUUCGGGUUGUAAACUGCUUUUAUAAGUGAUGAUUAUGACAGUAACUUAUGAAUAAGGAUCGGCUAACUACGUGCCAGCAGCCGCGGUCAUACGUAGGAUCCAAGCGUUAUCCGGAGUGACUGGGCGUAAAGAGUUGCGUAGGUGGUUCAAUAAGCGAAUAGUGAAAGCUGGUGGCUCAACCAUUCAGACUAUUAUUCGAACUGUUGAACUCGAGAGCAGAAGAGGUAGCUGGAAUUUCUAGUGUAGGAGUGAAAUCCGUAGAUAUUAGAAGGAACACCGAUGGCGUAGGCAGGCUACUGGGCUGUUUCUGACACUGAGGCACGAAAGCGUGGGGAGCGAACCGGAUUAGAUACCCGGGUAGUCCACGCCGUAAACGAUGGAUACUAGCUGUUUGGGGUAUCGACCCCCUGAGUAGCGAAGCUAACGCGUUAAGUAUCCCGCCUGUGGAGUACGAUCGCAAGAUUAAAACAUAAAGGAAUUGACGGGGACCCGCACAAGCGGUGGAUCAUGUUCUUUAAUUCGAUGAUAACCGAUAAACCUUACCAGGUCUUGACAUCCUUGGAAUCUUUCAGAAAUGAGAGAGUGCUUUUUAAGAGCCAAGUGACAGGUGAUGCAUGGCCGUCGUCAGCUCGUGUCGUGAGAUGUUUGGUUAAGUCCAUCGACGAGCGCAACCCUUGUCAGUAGUUGUAUUUUUCUACUGAGACUGCCCCGGUAACGGGGAGGAAGGAGGGGAUGACGUCAGGUCAGUAUUUCCCUUACGUCCUGGGCUAGAAACGUGAUACAAUGGCUAGUACAAUGCGCAGCGAAGCCGCGAGGUGAAGCAAAUCGCAUCAAAGCUAGUCCCAGUUCGGAUUGUAGGCUGAAACUCGCCUGCAUGAAGUCGGAAUCGCUAGUAAUCGCAGAUCAGCAUGCUGCGGUGAAUACGUUCCCGGGUCU